rnacentral:rRNA from 1 species
GACGAACGCUGGCGGCGUGCUUAACACAUGCAAGUCGAACGGUGAAGGGACCGGUUUUUGCUGGUUCUGGAUGAGUGGCGAACGGGUGAGUAACACGUGAGUAACCUGCCCCCUUCUUCUGGAUAACCGCAUGAAAGUGUGGCUAAUACGGGAUAUUCUGCGCCUGCUGCAUGGUGGGUGUGGGAAAGAUAUUGUUUCGGUGGGGGAUGGGCUCGCGGCCUAUCAGCGUGUGGGUGGGGUGAUGGCCUACCAAGGCGGGGACGGGUAGCCGGCCUGAGGGGGUGGACGGUCAUACUGGGACUGGGACACGGCGCUGACUCCUACAGGGGUCAUCCGUGCGUAAGAUUGCACAAUGGGCGCGAGCCUGAUGCAGCGACGCCGCGUGUGGGAUGAAGGCCUUCGGGUUGUAAACCUCUUUCGCCAGUGAAGCAGGCCUGUCCCUUUUGUGGAUGGGUUGACGGUAGCUGGAUAAGGAGCGCCGGCUAACUACGUG